rnacentral:rRNA from 1 species
AGUGAACGCUGGCGGCGUGCUUAACACAUGCAAGUCGAACGAGAACGGAUUAUAGCUUGCUAUAAUUGUCAGCUAAGUGGCGCACGGGUGAGUAAUGUAUAGGUAAUAUGCCUCUUACUAAGGGAUAACAAAUGGAAACGUUUGCUAAUACCUUAUACUCCUUAUUAACAUAAGUUAAUAAGGGAAAGAUUUAUUGGUAAGAGAUUAGCCUGUAUUGUAUCAGUUAGUUGGUGGAGUAAUGGUUUACCAAGACUAUGACACAUAACUGGUUUGAGAGGAUGAUCAGUCACACUGGAACUGAGACACGGUCCAGACUCCUACGGGAGGCAGCAGUGGGGAAUAUUGCACAAUGGACGAAAGUCUGAUGCAGCAACGCCGCGUGGAGGAUGACACAUUUCGGUGCGUACACUCCUUUUAUAUGAGAAGAUAAUGACGGUAUUAUAUGAAUAAGCACCGGCUAACUCCGUGCCAGCCGCCGCCGUAA